GGACGGUCCCCUCGCAGCGAUAGAUAGUGAACCCCGCCAGGCCCGGAAGGGAGCAACGGUAGUUAUCGA
rnacentral:SRP_RNA from 1 species